AGCACAGGUGAUGAGUACUAGGGACUUAAUACUGAAGUCUGAUGUCAGGUUUUUUUUAAAUCUGAUGUGC
ensembl:snoRNA SNORD82 Small nucleolar RNA SNORD82